GUAUAUGUAUCGUUAGUUUGAUUGAAUUUGCCUACCUUAGGAAAUAAUACAACUAUACAAUGCGUCGCCCGCGUGCAGGUAGGCAACCAUAACAUUGGGCUGCCUAUGGUCCAACUAUAAAGCUGUCAUCAAAUGUAGUGUUAGAGCAAAGGUUGAAGAUGUUAUCAGUUAAAAUACUUAUACAUUUUGGUUUUACACAUUAGAGUUAAUUAAACAAAAUUUUUACAAACUUUUUCAAAUAAAAGAAUCCUCCCCCUCCCGAGCCUCAUUACAUUGUCAUUUUGCUUUCUA